rnacentral:rRNA from 1 species
GGGUUAGUAGGUUGGUCAUGCCUCUGGUAUGUACUGGUCUCACUGAUUCCUCCUUCCUUAUGAACCGUAAUGCCAUUAAUUUGGUGUUGCGGGGAAUUUGGACUGUUACUUUGAAAAAAUUUUAAGAGUGUUUAAAGCAAGCUAACGCUUGAAUACAUUAGCAUGGAAUAAUGAAAUAGGACGUUCGAUCUUAUUUUGUUGGUUUCUAGGAUUGACGUAAUG